rnacentral:lncRNA from 1 species
UGUGGGUUUCUCCCUCCUCUUUCUCUCCAUCUCCUCUGGCUCCCCUAACCCAUCUCCCCCAGUCAGGCCCUCCAAAAACCUCCUCCCUUUCCCACAAACACUCCUCAAACUCAUUGGCUUAAAAAUAAACAAGAGUUGAGACUUGCUGGUAACCAAGGCCUUGACUGAGAGGAGGGAAGAGUCAAGGCUCUGUAACACUUAGUCUUCAAUUUCUUAAAUUUUUUUUGACUCAAUUUUCUCUGGGAUAUGUUUUUUGAUUCUGUAGAUUAAAACAUUUUAUUUUUCAAAAGUUUCCCUAAUGUAUUUAGAUAUAUACAAAUAUAAACAUAUUUUAACUGUUUCAUCUCGGAGAUAACAAUUAGGCAUAUGUUGGAUCUCUUGGUUUGUCUUUCUUAUCUUUCAUUUUCUCUCUGGCUCUUUUAAACCUUUGCUUAUUCUAACUUUAUUUUGAUUGAUUGCAUUUCUCAG